rnacentral:sRNA from 1 species
AGAGGAGUCCCGCGUUCGGGGAGUAUGUCAAGGCCGUGACCCGUGUAUUAUUGUCCGAGUGGCCGGAACGGGAGCCAACAUGGCAGCGGGUUUCGGGCGAUGCUGCCGGGUCCUGAGAAGUAUUUCUCGUUUUCAAUGGAGAUCACAGCAUACAAAAGCCAAUCGACAACGUGAACCAGGAUUAGGAUUUAGUUUUGAGUUCACCGAACAGCAGAAAGAAUUUCAAGCUACUGCUCGUAAAUUUGCCAGAGAGGAAAUCAUCCCAGUGGCUGCAGAAUAUGAUAAAACUGGUGAAUAUCCAGUCCCCCUAAUUAGAAGAGCCUGGGAACUUGGUUUAAUGAACACACACAUUCCAGAGAACUGUGACUACAGUGUUUGCCCACUUUUGGAAGCUUGCACUCUAUACUUAGAUGCAUUUUUCCUUCUAACUGGUUCCAACCUUAACUUGCACCUAAACCUUGGUAACUUCCAUUUCUAGAGUUGGUCAAUUUGUUGCGUUUUAUUCCUAUCUUCUAUAUUACAUUUUAUUGAGUCUUUUUUGUGAACCAUGAUUCUUUUCCUCAGACCCAGUUUUAGAGUUGAAUUGAGUUUUAACAAAAUCAAGUUAGAACAGGAAUACAGGUUCAAAUUACAAAUAGUAAAAUAAUUUUU